CCCCACCCCCGUCUACCCUAAGAUCAUGAGGAAAAACAGGCAGAACUCUACAGUAUGCCAGGCUUCUAAGCUAUGAUGUGCAGAGGCUAUAGUGAUGAAAUGGAGCCUCAACUUUCAACCCAUACGUUCAACAUAAUGCAUUUAUCUAGACAUAAUCCCAUCAUAAACAUAGAAGUAUCUAUAAACAGAGGAGGUAAACCAAACACAAACUCCACAAACAGAAGCAAGGAGACAUUGGUACCAUACUUUAACCAUCUUCAAUAACCAGCCAUUAUAUGGGGCAAGAAGACAGGACUUUGCAGGAAGAAGGUGGCAUUUCAAAGCUGUGGAGAGUGGUAUACUCAAUAAAAUGUAUUCUAAAGACAGUGCAUUAGCUACUUGUGUGGUCUGAAUGAGGAUGUCCCCAUCAGCUCAUGUAUUUGAACACUUGGUCCUCAGUUGUUGCCCAUGAUUGGGGAGGUUAUGGGUUAGGAUAUGGAGCCUUGCUACAGGAAGUACAUCACUGGAGGUGGGCCUUGAGGUUUGAGAGCUUGACCCCCCCCCAUCUAUUCUGUCUAUGGCUUCCCAUGUUAAGAUGAAAUGUGAUCACUCUGCUUCCUGACUUCUACCAUGCCUUCUCCAUCAUGAUGGUCGGUGUCUCCUCUGGAACUAUACACCAAAAUAAACCGCUUCAUCCUCUAAGUUGUUUUUUGUUUUUGUUUUGGUUUUGGUCAGGUAUUCUAUUACAGAAAAAAAAAAAAUCAGUUACUUUCCAAAUAAACUUGGAUUCCUAACUUCUUCUCUUCCCCCAGCACUGGGCCUUUUGCAUGCUAUACACAUCCUGCACCAAAGGCCACAUUCCUGACCUUCUAAUUUAUCUCUUACAUCAAAAUAAAUCCCAGAUCAAAGUUUUCAAAGUUACCUGUGAGGCAUGAAAAUAUCAUUAAACAAUUUUUAAAACCCAGAGAAAAAUAUUUUAAUAUGCAUGGCAAAGGGUUAGCAUCUUAACAUGUGCAGCUCCCCUGCAAAUUACUGAGGCAACCACUAUCUGUUGACCAGGAAAACAUUAUAACCCAAAUUCCUUAAAUUUAGCCUUAACUAAUUAAAGCUAAGUCAGAGGCCACAGUUGUUAAUGGCGGGGUGAACACCGCAAAGACAAAGCUCUAAGCAAGACUUCAACGCGUUCUUUAUAAAGAAAAGGGAGAACUGUACCUUGCUGAAACUAAGAGUAUUAGUCCUAUCCAGGUCUCAGGGAAAGGUCUUGCUUAGUAUCCUUAAACUUAAUUAGCAUCUUGUCAUUAUAAAACUGUCUUUGGAGGGACAAGACUGUCCCUUUUGACCACUGGGGGGGUCAAAAGCAGUAUCUUCUUGUUGCAUGAUCUUUAAUCUUCAGAUUAAUAAAUGUGAUUGUUUAUUUGGUAUGGGAAGCCUUACUUGUUCAUGUGUCCUAAGGAAAUGAAUUUAAAUUGAUCCAUCAUCUACUGCUCUCAGCCUCCUGUUGCUGCCACCAUGCCUGCUGCUGCUGCCGCCGUGAUGCACUCUCAGUCCUCCUGAGUCAGAAGCUGAAUAACCUCUGUCCUCCCUAAGAGGCCUGAGUCAUAAUGUUUUAUCACAGCAACAGAAGAUCAGCUAGUGCAGGAGUUAGUACCAGAAGAGGGUGUUGCUUUGAAGAACCUGGCCAUGUCGUUUUUGGAGGGAUGUGGAAGGCUUUGGAACUUUGGACUAGAAAGCCAACUGAAUGCUGUUAGUAGAGCUUAGAUGACCGUUUUAGUAGACGCCUGGAAGACAGUAGUUCUGAGAGCAAAGGAGGCCAUGGAGACCCAGCUCAAAAAGUUUCAGAGGGAAGCAAGGACUUGAACAGCAACUUGGCUAGAUAUUGUAACUGUAAUUCCUGCUUGAUAGCUGUUCUAUUAUAUGUAAUUUUACUAUGUUAAAGUUAAAACUUCCCUUUUUGAUUAGACAGAAAGGGGGAAGUGCUAUGGGAUGUCUUUCUGUAUGCUGUGAAUAUGUGUUGCUCUGACUGGUUGAUAAAUAAAGCUGCAUUGGCCUAUGGCAAGACAGCUUAGAGGCAAACAGGAAAUCUAAGCAGAUACAUGAAGAGAAGAAAGGAGAGGAGGGGGAGACGUCAGCACCGCCAGGAGAAGCAAGAUGUGAAAGCACCGGUAAGAGUUAGCCAGUGAGAAGCCUGAGCCAUUAGGCCAUACAGUUUGUAAAUAAUAUAAGCCUCUGUAUGUUUACUUGGGUCCGAACAGCUGCAGGACUUCAGGUGAGAGAGAUUUGUCUGGACCGCCUGAAGGGCUGGGUGGGACCCAAGAACCUUCUGACUACAACACACCUUUACAUAGUUAAAGUAAUAUUCUACAACAGGAGUCAUUUGGGAAGAGGAAACUUUGAUUGAGAAAGUCCCCCUACCAGAUUGGCCUGUGGGCAAGUCUGUAGUACAUUUUCUUGAUUUAUGAUUGGUGUGAGAAGGCUCAACUCACUGUGGGAGCUGCCAUCCCUGGGCUGGUGGUCCUGGGUACUGUAAGAAAGCAGCGUGUGCAAGCCACGAGGAACAAGCCAAUAAGCAGCACUCCUCCAUAGCUUCUGCAUCAUUUCCUGCCUCCAGGUUCCUGCCCUGUUUGAGUUCCUGUCCUGACCUCCUUUGAUGGUGGAACUGUGAUGUAUAUGGAAGUAAGGAUGCUCUGCCGACUGUGCCCACUGUGACCUGAUUUGACACCGUCUGGCUAUCGUCUCAGAGGACUGCUUGAUAAACCCUCCCCACAGGCGAUUUUCCUCCCUCCAGAUGCUGGCCCCGCUCCUCACUCGUGCCCAUCCCGGAAGUUUGUUUUAUACUCAUCGUCCAGAAGCUAGGACCCUCCUGCCGUCACCUCGUCUCUCCCCAUUGUCCCAUUUAGCCAUUCUUCUGCCUACAGCUCUUCAGACCACUUCACAUUUCAUUAGGUGCUUCAUCGGCAAGGAAGAAAGAAGUGGGCUGCCUCAAAACGACUGCUUUCGGCUGCUGACUUCUUUGUUUUGUGCCAGAAAGCAUUUCUGCAACUUAGCCGGCGAUUCAAGCACAGAUAAGAGAAAGCCCUCUUGUCAACUCCAAUUCCACUUCAUUUACUGGCGUACACAGUUGAAUGAGCUGUUUAAGUGGGGCUGCUAUGAAAUGAAAUGAACUUGAAUUUGCA